rnacentral:lncRNA from 10 species
CCAUUGUUUUUAUUUUUUAAAGUAUUUUAUUUUACUUAGCAAUCAGCAGUACAUAGUAGUUUGACAAAGCAGAAAGUGCAUGCAUUUCCCUUUCAGUGUUAACUGUGAACACCUGGCUGUCUCUCUUCAUGAAUAUUUAUGGAGAUAAGUGUUGGGCAUUGUAGUAAGGCGAAAAGAGAGAUGAAAAGAUGAAUGGAUGAAGAGACAGAAAGAAAACUGGCAUUGUUUAGUAAUAAAUAGGUUUAAUAACAAAAAAAUUAAUGUUACUCAAAUUUAAAAAGAAAAAGUAACUAGAGAACUAAAGAAAUUGCUGUUCUUCAAGAGAACUAUAUUGAACAAGAGGAAAUCCUUGUUUUGUAAUAUUUCUCUAUGAGUGAAAGAAAGAAGGUAAGACAGUUAUGAGAGACUCAGUAUGUUUGUGUCCACAUGAUUAGACAUUCAACCUUGCUUACAUUUCUUCUCCCUCUCUUUUGUCCUCUAUGGACUGUUUUUUAAAUUGUUGUAAAAUUAUUUUUACUUUGUCAAGAUUUACUUAUUUAAAUUUUUGUUCCGGACCCAUAUUUAUUCCUGUAACUGUUUUUCUCAAUUUAACAUUUAAAUUCUCAUUAUACCAUGUGUUCUACAUUGAUCAAUUAAAUGGUUCCAACCACCCUCUUACAAGGACAAAAAAGAAAAAAAUAUGUCUGGUCUUAACAACAAUGUAGUAAGCCAAGAAAGAAAAAUAAAAUGUAUAAAGAUUGGGGUAAAAAAACAGCCCUCAUUACCAUUCAUUCUGUAGUAAUUUUAUUCCCUAGUUCUUCAUUGUGAUCCUCCCUUUUUUCUUGGGUAGGGGGGUGGAUUUAAGUAUCAAGUAGUUAAAAUGUUCUCCUCUCAACCUGUAUCUUGAAUAAUGAGAAGAAAAAUGUUCUUCUCUUUGUCUUUGCACGUUUGAGAAUCCCUACUAAAUUUAUUAGCUCCAUAAUACAUUUUUGUUCUCAGAGUAAUUCAUAGCUUUUCAUCUCUCUUUUUAAAAAAAUCAUGUUGGGUGGUGUGUAUUUCAUUAAAUUCAUGUCCUUAUUGAAUUACUCUAUAGCACAAGCAUUUUUAGAAGAUUUCUUGUAUUCCUUGGAUCUUAGUUUUCCCAGAAUGUGUUCUUCCUUGGAUGUUUUUCAUACCAUGUUCUUUCUCUCCUGUAUUGGUGUUAUUUCUGUGCAUAAUGAUAAUGACAGGAUCCUUUUUAAAAAAUAUUAUUGAUCCUAACGUGGCUGGUUUUAGCCAGACCUCUAAUUGGCUGUGAUUAGUACAGAUGGGUUCUUGUAGACACUCCUCCAAAAAUAUUUGUGACAUCUGUCUUCUAAGCUGCAUCUAAUGCAUUUGAUGUUGCAUUCUCUGUUCCUUUUUAAUAGCAGAGGCCUUGGGGUAGGGGAUGGGAGAACCUGUCUAAGAAAACCUUUAGCUCUUUGUUGUAGGCCUGAAGACUGUUCUUUCCCCUCUCAACUUUGAAUAAAUACUCCUGGGGUCUCAUUCUCCCAACUCUACAUAUUGCCUCAAAAAUUGGCAAGCCCCUGGCAGCCCCUCCCAGUGUCUGCAGAAGAGUAGUGUAUAAGGGCUUCUGCUCUUGAUGGUGUAUUUCCUUGAUUUUUCCUCUCAAGCUGCCUACUCUACCUGCAUCUCCCCAUCUUUUAACAGUGCCUAUUAAAUGAUGGCCCAUCAAUAUUGUUACUGUAAUUCCUAAACUGAUUUUCAAAGCAUUCUUAUUUUUUUCUAUCAGAGAUAAAUAAAUCAUUUAGGAAGAGAUUCAUUUGAACAUUCUUGUUUAUAAGCCAAAGGGUUUCCAAAGAGGAAUAGUUUGAAGAUUGACAAAAAUGGGGAUAAUUUGUGAGAGUGAAUGCCUGGAGAGUAUCAGGGAACAUCUAGAACAUACAAUAAGAGGAUACAUGGAAGGGCAACUUUUCCUUUGAGACAGGAAGGGAAAGACAUAUGGAUGAAAUGAGUGAAAUUAUACAGAGUUGGGAUUUCCUCUUGAUGGCUUCUUCUUCAGGUAACCACAGAGUCUGAGCACUAUCAAAAAUUCUUCCUGGGCCAGGCAUGGACUCCUAGUGGAUUGCCUGAGCUCAGGAGUUCAAGACCAGCCUGGGUAACAUGGUGAAACCCCAUCUCUAC